rnacentral:rRNA from 1 species
UACGUAGGGUGCGAGCGUUGUCCGGAAUUAUUGGGCGUAAAGGGCUCGUAGGCGGUUUGUCGCGUCGGGAGUGAAAACCAUGAGCUUAACUCAUGGCUUGCUUUCGAUACGGGCAGACUGGAGGUAUGCAGGGGAGAACGGAAUUCCUGGUGUAGCGGUGAAAUGCGCAGAUAUCAGGAGGAACACCGGUGGCGAAGGCGGUUCUCUGGGCAUUACCUGACGCUGAGGAGCGAAAGUGUGGGGAGCGAACAGG